rnacentral:rRNA from 1 species
GACGUAGGGCGCGAGCGUUGUCCGGAUUAUUGGGCGUAAAGAGCUCGUAGGCGGCUUGUCGCGUCGUCCGUGAAAACCUGCGGCUCAACUGCAGGCUGGCGGUCGAUACGGGCAGGCUGGAGUUCGGUAGGGGAGACUGGAAUCUGGUGUAGCGGUGAAAUGCGCAGAUAUCAGGAGGAACACCGGUGGCGAAGGCGGGGUCUCUGGGGCAGUAACUGACGCUGAGGAGCGAAAAGCGUGGGGGAGCGAACAGG